rnacentral:lncRNA from 1 species
CAGGACCAACCAGCUAGUAAAUGUCUGAGGCACAUUUGAACUCAAGAAGAUGAGUCUUCCUGACUCCAGGCCCAGUACUCUUACUACUGAACCAUCUAGCUGCCCCAGGUGGAUCAUGGCCAGGUAUGAAGAGGAAAUGGAUCUCAUUUUUGGUGAGAAAGCCUUGUAUUCUAUAUUUCCUUAGCUGACACAGUGUGUCAAUGAUUAUAAGCUAUAUUUUUGAAUUUUAACACUCUUUUAUUAUUAUAUUUUCUUGCAUGUGUAAUAUACUAUUUCAGUUUUUAUUUUUUCUCUUUUUUAUAUUUGAAGCACGUCAUCAGUAUUAAGAUUUUAACUUUUUCUGAUUUAGCAGUAUUAUAAGUUUAAAAUAUUUGCUAUAAUGUCAAUGCAUGCCCCAAAAGCUUGAGACUAUAAAAAAUGAUUCCAUUUAUUGAUAAAAAUUAUGGGACUUUGCUUAAUGAUUUUGUCUGAUUCCAGGACAAGAUAUACAAAAGAGUUAUUGCACCGGGCCAAAGAAGCACAAAGCUAAACCUGAAUUGUGUUAAAAGAACACACAGGUCAAAAAAGAAGAAACCAAUCCAGAUAGGAUUGAUGCACUUCUAAGCCAAUACAAAGGACUUGAACCUACUGUGGGACUGUUUGAGGUUGCAAUUCUUGACAUAUGUUAAGACAUAGGCCUACUUGUAUCCACACUCUUCAUGAAAAUACUUACAGAUAGUACCAAAAUUUGGCUCCUACCUGGCUCCUAAUCUAGUCCCUACUCUGUCUUUCAUAAUGUGGCAACUUUCUAUAGUCCUGGCUACUGACUGGGUAAAUGCUUAAUUGCUUAUAUCAUUUUAAUUGGGCCCUGAUUUAAGGACCUGUUACAGAUUUAUUUUUCCUUUACUUGGAAUGUUUACACAUAAGAAUUUGAUAGUUUAUAUUUCAUCCAGAAAUUAUCUUUUUUAAUUUGGAUUUUUUUUUAUAUUUUUGAUUUCUCUUACCAAUUGAUUCAUAUACCUCAUAACUCAGCCAUGCAUCCCUAAGUGAUACCUGUGUUUUUCAAUCACC